rnacentral:rRNA from 1 species
UUGACAUCCCUUGCCAAUCUUAGAAAUAGGAUGUUCCCUUCGGAGACAAGGUGACAGGUGGUGCAUGGUUGUCGUCAGCUCGUGUCGUGAGAUGUUGGGUUAAGUCCCGCAACGAGCGCAACCCUUAUUAUUAGUUGCCAGCAUUCAGUUGGGCACUCUAGUGAGACUGCCGGUGACAAACCGGAGGAAGGUGGGGAUGACGUCAAAUCAUCAUGCCCCUUAUGACCUGGGCUACACACGUGCUACAAUGGCAUAUACAACGAGUCGCCAACCCGCGAGGGUGCGCUAAUCUCUUAAAGUAUGUCUCAGUUCGGAUUGUAGGCUGCAACUCGCCUACAUGAAGUCGGAAUCGCUAGUAAUCGCGGAUCAGCACGCCGCGGUGAAUACGUUCCCGGGUCUUGUACACACCGCCCGUCACACCAUGAGAGUUUGUAACACCCAAAGCCGGUGGGGUAACCUUUUAGGAGCCAGCCGUCUAAGGUGGGACAGAUGAUUAGGGUGAAGUCGUAACAAGGUAAGCGUAGACGU